rnacentral:rRNA from 1 species
GGCUUAAUGAUAAUAAUUUUAGGUCGAUCUGCCCAAUGAUUAAUAAUUAAAUGGCUGCAGUAUAUUUGACUGUACAAAGGUAGCAUAAUCAAUUGUUUUUUAAUUAAGAACUGGAAUGAAAGAAUUAAUGAGAUAUAUACUGUCUCAUAUAUAUAUAAUGAAUUUAAAUUUUUAGUUAAAAUGCUUAAAUAAUUUUAUGGGACGAUAAGACCCUAUAGAAUUUUAUAUUAAUUAUAAUUAUAAAAUUUAUUUUAUUAUUAUAUUAAUAUUUAGUUGGGAGGAUUAGUAAAUUUAGUAAACUUUAUUUUAAAUUUAAACUUUGAUUAAAGAAUAUUUUUUUGAUCUUGUAUUAUGAAUAAAAAGAAAAAAUUACCUUAGGGAUAACAGCGUAAUAUCUUUUUAAAGGUCAUAUUAAUAAAGAUGAUUGCGACCUCGAUGUUGAAUUAAGAUAAAUUUUAGAUGAAGAAGUUUAAAAAUUAAGUCUGUUCGACUUUUAAAAUCUC